GACGAACGCUGGCGGCGUGCUUAACACAUGCAAGUCGAACGGAAAGGCCCUGCUUUUGUGGGGUGCUCGAGUGGCGAACGGGUGAGUAACACGUGAGUAACCUGCCCUUGACUUUGGGAUAACUUCAGGAAACUGGGGCUAAUACCGGAUAGGAGCUCCUGCUGCAUGGUGGGGGUUGGAAAGUUUCGGCGUUUGGGGAUGGACUCGCGGCUUAUCAGCUUGUUGGUGGGGUAGUGGCUUACCAAGGCUUUGACGGGUAGCCGGCCUGAGAGGGUGACCGGCCACAUUGGGGCUGAGAUACGGCCCAGACUCCUACGGGAGGCAGCAGUGGGGAAUAUUGCACAAUGGGCGGAAGCCUGAUGCAGCAACGCCGCGUGCGGGAUGACGGCCUUCGGGUUGUAAACCGCUUUCGCCUGUGACGAAGCGUGAGUGACGGUAAUGGGUAAAGAAGCACCGGCUAACUACGUG
rnacentral:rRNA from 1 species